AAAGUUUUCCCGGCUUUUUGCUUAAGAUCAAGUGUAGUAUUUGUUUUAUCAGUUUAAUAUCUGAUACGUGGAUCAUUGAUCCAGAGGAUAUUAAAUUAAUGUAUUUUGGGGGAGGGCCCACCACAGUGGCUUGCUACUGGGGUCUUCAGGUGUCGCCCAUGCGUUGUACUACUGCACGGGCUUGGCGUACCCCUA